GCUCAGAACGAACGCUGGCGGCAGGGCUAAUUUUUCAAGUCGAACGGUAACAGGAAGAAGCUUGCUUCUUUGCUGACGAGUGGCGGACGGGUGAGUAAUGUCUAGGAAACUGCCUGAUGGAGGGGGAUAACUACUGGAAACGGUAGCUAAUACCGCAUAACGUCGCAAGACCAAAGAGGGGGACCUUCGGGCCUCUUGCCAUCGGAUGUGCCCAGAUGGGACUAGCUAGUAGGUGGGGUAACGGCUCACCUAGGCGACGAUCCCUAGCUGGUCUGAGAGGAUGACCAGCCACACUGGAACUGAGACACGGUCCAGACUCCUACGGGAGGCAGCAGUGGG
rnacentral:sRNA from 1 species